rnacentral:tRNA from 1 species
UAGCUCAGUCAGUUGAGCAUAGCAGUAACAACGCUAAGAUCAUGGGUUCGAUUCCCGU